rnacentral:lncRNA from 1 species
GAUGGAUAUUUCUGUGGUGGAAUUUCACGUGGAAUCUGGUUGGUUCGGACUGGAUAUUCAAUGUGAGGUGCCUUUGCCCCGAGGUAGCCACCAAUAAGGGUUAGUGGAACAGUCGUCUGAUACAAUUAAACAAACUAAAAGAAAUAGGUAGAGGAGACUCGGGGCCCGCGAACGCCAGCGAACUACCUCAGAGUCUCUGGACUGAAGGAUCGCCCCCUGACUAGUGCUUCGGUCCGUAGGCUGCGUCUUGACCUGGGCACAAAAAGGCACAGAAACGUAGUAUCAGCACAACCGACCCCAUGUGCUGGUAAGUUCAUGGCCUAAUCCCCGCGAAGUAGUGACGAGGCUAGACAGGACCUACCACAUUUAACAUGUGCAAUAAUGAUAUACAAGCUCGAAAAGAAAGAACAAAAGCAAUAUAACACGAAGUAAACUGGGGGCAUACAAGAUAAAGAUGGAACAUCAGUAACAACAGUAACUCUAUCUCAGCUUUUCGUAAUCUACUCAUCUACAGUGGAAGGUGCGCCACACGAUCCCAUUGUGUAGUAUACAAGUGGACGGCGCGCCACACGAUCCCAUAAUGUAAUGCAUAAGUGGACGGCGCGCCACACGAUCUCACGACAUCUCAGGCCAAUAACAAUAAGUGGACGGCGUGCCACACGAUCCCAUAAUAUAUUAAAUAAGUGGACGACGUGCCACAUAAUCCCAUGAUGUAUUAUAGAAUAACUCCAACAAUCUCCUCAAGGAGGCCCCAUUAGGGAAAUUCAUCAACAUAACAGUGAAACCUGGUAAGGGUACAACUAACCGUCCAAGAAUAUCCCGGAAAGGGAGACUAAAUCAACAGCAAGUCCCGGCAAGGGAGAGAUAAAUCAACAAUAUGUCACGGCAAGGGAAAGAUAAAUCAACACCAAGUCCCGGCAAGGGAAAAGCACCACACUUCCUCCUUUAAUUCAUUUACCUUCCAAUUAUCAAUUCACAAUUUAUUUAGCGGCCAAUUAACUCAAUUAAUUCACAUCUUUCAAAUUUAAGGACAAUUACGACUCACAAUCAUGCUUGACACCGGUGCAUAGAUACUCGUCGCCAUGCCUAUGCACUGUACUCGAUCAUUUAGCAAAUAGCAGUCAAAUACUCUAAUCAUAUUCCCUUAAGCCAAAGUUAGAUCAAACACUUACCUCGAAAGCUUCCAACUCAACUCACGCCUCUAGAAUAGCCUUACCCCUCGAAUUUGCCUCAAAAUCGGUCGAAUCUAGCCACAAUUUACUCAAAUGUAUCAACAAAUGCUAAUUAAAUCAAUUUGAAUGCAUAAGAAUGGAAUUCCCAAGUUUUACCCAAAAAUUCACAAAAUGCCCCCGGGCCCACGUGGGUCAAAACUCGAGAUUCGAACCAAAAUCGGGUUAUCUAUUUCCCCACGAGUUCAUAUAUGUAAUUGAUUUUGUAAUCGGACCUCCAAUUGGGGUCCAACUCCCCAAAUUUUGAAAACUUAGUUUCCACCCAAAAACCCAAAUUCCCAUCUGUGAAAACCUUUGAUUGAAGUCGAAAUUAUAUUAAAAGAUGUUAAGGAGUAGGAAAAUUAAGUUAGAAAUCACUUACCAAUCAUUUUGGAGAAGAAAAGUUGUUUGGAAAAUCGUUCCCUAAGUUUUGAGUUUUUAGAAAGUGGAAAAAUGGCUGAAGUUUCGAACUUAUAUAUCUUUCUGAGGGCCUGGCGCGGACCGCAAAAAUGUGUUGCGGCCGCAUUGAGUGGGGGAAAAGUCGGGUCCCUCUAAACCCUCCCAGCGCGAACCGCACUGAUUUGGGGCGCGGCCGCGCUGGUCAUCCCAAAAAUCUCCUUGCCUCAGACUCAGCCAAGCGGACAGCACAGAAAUGCCUCGCGGCUGCAUGGCUCCAGUGCGGACCGCACAGAACUGGCCGCGGCCGCGCUGGUGUCUGCAAUACCUGAACAUGUUUUCUUUGAGCCUAAUACCUCCCAGACCUCAUUCAAAACUCACCCGAGCCCUCGGGGUUCCCAACCAAAAAUGCACACUAACUCAGGAACGUCCUACGGACUUACUCAUGCGAUCAAAUCGCUAAAAUAACAUCAUUUACAUAGGAUUAAAUCUCCAAACACAUGAUUUUUAUUUCAAAGUUCAUAACUUUUAAAUUUUCCAUUUCUAAUCCGAAACACGUCAAACGACGUCCGUUUCCAACCAAACUUUACAGAUAGCGCUUAAUGCUCAUUUAAGACUUGUACUGGGCGUCGGAACUAAAAUACGAGUUUCGGUACCAUAAUUUUUUAUCAAAUCUCAUUUUCGUUCUUCCUUAAGAAAUUUCAGAAAAUAAUUUCACAGAAAAAAGAUUCUGUACUUGGGCCUGAGACCUCGAAUUUCGAUUUCGGGAAUAUGCCCGGGUCCCAAAUUUCCUACGACCCUCCGGGACCGUCACAUCACGGGUCAAGGUCCAGAUCUGUUUACCCAAAACGUUGACAAAAGUCAACUAUAGCCAUAUUAGUAUCAAAAUUCAUAGUUUUUUUUAACAGAGAAUUCAAAUAUUUUCACAUAAAAAUAUUCUGGCUCCGCGCCCGUACCGCACAUACAAAUCGAAGCAACCCAAUAAGAGGUUUUCAAGGCCUCAGAAAUGUAAGGAAAGGGAAAAUUACGGUGAUGAUCCUUUGGGUCGUCACAAAAUUUUUAUAUAUACUGCUCCAUCAUGGUAGGGGUAAGGUCUGCACACACUACUCUCCCCAUACCCCACCCACUUGUGAGAGGUAAAAUUGACUACCAAUUUCAAUCAUUUUUUUGAGAGGUACAACUAAUAAAAUUAAGUUCAAGUUAUGGACGCAUCAGCAUCAUAUUCUCUAAUCAUGAGCUUCUUUGAUCUCUUUGCUAAUGUGGAAUUAUUUGAAUCCCAAUAUCUUAAGCAGACUGCACAUGGAAAAAUGACACUUAAUAGCUGCUCUCAAAAUAAUAGCCAAGAAAAUGUAUAUUUUUCGUUAUAUAUAUAUAUAUAUACACAUUUUGUAUGUUAUAUACAAAUUUUAUACACUUUUUGGGCUAUCAAAUGUAAAUAGUUUCAGGCGCGGGUUAAAGUCAUAAUAUCCCUAUUUUUUAAUAAUAAGUGAAUAACUCAUUAAAAUAAGUUCUUUCAUCUAAAAUAAACUAUGGACGACAUAUUUUUGAUUGGUUUGACCAUCUGGUUUAUGAUAUUCAAGGGCUCGAUUAAUUCCGAUUUACACCGUGUAAAACCAUUAAAGGGAAAAGCGCUGGCUUAUAGAAAUGUCUCCAUUUCUAGGACUUAAAACUUUGAGACCGCUAGUUAAAGGUGAAGGAAUUUCGUCCAUCUCAUCGCACCACUCGACAGUAAAAAUGGAUGAUAUAGCUUAGGAAUAUCAAAGGCAUACAAUAUUAAAGCAUGUUUAUUUUGGCUGAUAAACCACAAAAGAUUGCUUGUACAUUGAAAAGUGAGAUGAUUACCAAAUUUCUCACAACACUAAAUCAUUUAGAACAUACAAUAAUCCAUUAGUAGAUUUAACCACAAAACAGAAUACCAGUUUAGUAGUUGAUUUCUAGCAACAUUUCAAAACACAUCUCAAAUUCAACAUGAAAAAACAAAUUAAAAAUAGAUACAAGAAUCAUUAAUAUAAUAAGAAAAGCCGGUUAAGGAUAACAGAUUCAUCACUAUUAAUAGAAAUCUAGAAAAAUGAUGGCAAAUUUGAAAGCAAAGCAUCCAAGCUUGCCUAUCAUAUGAUGUUCAUCCUACCAUGCAAUGACUUCUUCUAUAAAGAAUUUAACAAAACUUUAGGAGUUUUAUUGUUUUUCUCUUCCAAAUACCCUACAAAAUGACAUUAAAAGUAAAAUAGAAUUCUUUUGAUAUCUGCCACUGGUUGCUCUUCAAUGGUUCAUUUUAAUUGCAAUCUCUAUCUUCAAGCACGAGAGACGACUUCAAUCCAGCUUCACUGAAGAGAACAAAUAAUGUACAAACCAGAAAGAGGAAAGGAACCCGACUGUGCCUGUUGCAAACAUAAUUGCCAAGACCAUGAAGAGGGAAUAUCCGAGGUAAAGGGUGGCGGAAACAGGGCCGCUUAAACUCUUGAGGUCGAAUAUUAGAUAGUUGAUGGAGUAUAGGAAAAUGUAUAUCGCGACUGAACCAGAAGCAAAGAAUGACUUCCACCACCACUUCCAGUCCUCGACACAUAGAUGCAUGUAGGUUAGAACAAGAGAUACCUCGGCACAGACGAUGACAAGGAGGAGCAUGACAAUAAGGAGAAAUCCAAAGACAUAGUACACACGACCCAUCCAAAGACUGGACAUGAUAAAGAAGAGCUCAAUGAAUAGAGUACCGAAAGGAAGGGUUCCUGCACCGAGAACCAAAAGCCAAGAUGGAUAUUUCUGUGGUGGAAUUUCACGUGGAAUCUGGUUGGUUCGGACUGGAUAUUCAAUGUGAGGUGCCUUUGCCCCGAGGUAGCCACCAAUAAGGGUUAGUGGAACAGAGAUACAGAACCAAAGUAAAAUGAGAACGACGAACAGAGAAAAGGGAAUGGCCCCUGUACUGUGACUACCCCAUAGCAAGAAGUUCAAUGUUGUUAGGAUAAAGAAAGCAAUCCCGGGGAAGAAACAUGCAGCUUUCCACGCGACUGAAACCCAGCCCUUGUGAUCGCCACAGAAGAUUGUCCUCCAGAGACGAACAGCAACAUAACCAGCUGCAACACCAAGAAUCAUGUAAAAGAAUAGCAUACCUUAAUACCCUCGAAGUCCAUAGCAAGAAGUUCAAUGUGGUUAGGAUAAAGAAAGCAAUCCCGGGGAAGAAACAAGCAGCUUUCCACGCGACUGAAAACCAGCCCUUGUGAUCGCCACAGAAGAUUGUCCUCCAGAGACGAACAGCAACAUAACCAGCUGCAACACCAAGAAUCAUGUAAAAGAAUAGCAUACCUGUAAUCAACGUUCCUCGAGAUGCUGGGGACAUGAAUCCAAGGGCAGCAAACAUGAUAGUCACUACAGCCAUCCCCAAGAUUUGAACACCAUCUCCAACCAUCGCACAUAGAAGGCCAGGAUUACCAGGCGCACGGAAAACAUCACCGACAACAAGCUUCCACCCAGAUAACUCCUCGUUCAUCUGGGCUUGAGCUUCUUUGUCGAGCUCAUCAUACCUUGCCAGAUCCCUUCGGACUGUUCUCAAAAAGAUCACAAGCACAAUACCAGCCAAGAAAGUGAUCACCAUAAGGGAAUUGAGUAUCGAGAACCAAUGCACCUU